rnacentral:rRNA from 1 species
UACGAAGGGGGCUAGCGUUGCUCGGAAUCACUGGGCGUAAAGCGCACGUAGGCGGAUGUGUCAGUCAGGGGUGAAAUCCCGGAGCUCAACUUCGGAACUGCCUUUGAUACAGCACAUCUGGAGUCCGGAAGAGGUGGGUGGAAUUCCUAGUGUAGAGGUGAAAUUCGUAGAUAUUAGGAAGAACACCGGUGGCGAAGGCGGCCCGACUGGU